UAGUCACUGGUCCUGAUAAGGCUUCUAGCCUUAG
rnacentral:sRNA from 1 species